CAUGACUGUGGAGAGAAAUGUGGAGCGUGUCAGGGGUAUAAACAAUGUAAUCACAUCAAUGGUUCGUGUACUGAAGGCUGCGACGCUGGAUUUACGGGAGAGCUCUGUUGUUCUGUUGGUACAUUUGGAAAUAAUUGUGAGCAGAACUGUAAUAAAAACUGUGGCGUGCCAUAUCAAUGUGACAGAACAACAGGUGAAUGUGAGGGUGGAUAUCAUCCAGGGUGGGAAGGACCUCAAUGUGAACAAGCAUGCACAGAAAACAGAUAUGGUCAAAACUGCAGUUUUGCCUGUGGGUUUUGUCAGGACUCUCUUUGCCAUCAUGUAAAUGGUUCCUGCACAGGGCCGUAUAUUGAAGGGUAUCAAGGGACAUUAUGCAAUCAGGUGUGUUAUAAAGGCUAUUAUGGAGCUGAUUGCGAAGAAAGAUGCAGUUUAUAUUGCAAGACAUCACGUGACUGUCACCACGUGACUGGAUAUUGUAAGGAUGGAUGUAUUGGUGGAUGGCAAGGAUUGAAAUGUUUGCAAGGACAAUAUCCUUUCUUUUAUUUGUAUGGGUCAGCUUGGGUGAAUUGUUUCACUCCAAAUACAUGCCUUCAAUGCUCCUUAUUUAUGUGGUUAUUCUAAGGUAAUAUAAUUGAAAAUCGCGAACUAUUUUUUUCUCUCUCUCUCGAUACAAUGGCAGAAAGAAAGGCUGACAUGGAUCCUCCGUCAUGGUUCUAUGGCGUGUUUGCAGUCAUAGGAGUCUGCAUAGUUGUAUUUUUGGUGGUUUGUACCUACAUUGCUUUCAAUAGAAGGAGAGUCAGACAAAAGAAGGAGAAACAGAAGCUAAGUGGGGUGGGUGAUAAAAGAAAGUCAGUAAAGUUGGAACUUUACACAAUUCCUUUCAAAACGGACGAAGAUGACGGUAACAGAUAUCAGGCGCUUGGUGAAGUAAUAAAGCAAUCCCAAUAUGAAGACUUGAGAUAAAUAUCUUCUCAAAUCGAUAUAAUAGUUGAAUUACAUUAAGACCAA